rnacentral:lncRNA from 1 species
AGGAAGAACAGGUGGGAGCUCGGACAAAACAGAUUAGACAUGAACAUAUAUAAUAACUUGCAUUCUAUGUUCCCACCUUCAUGUUUCUCAAUAUUUGCAUUCUAUUGUUGAUUACUUGUUUGUGGUAGGCAGCAAUUGUUCCCAUUCAGUUUCGUUUACAUUUCUUAUUUUCAUGUGUAUCAAGUAAAAUCAUCAGUUACAACGUGUUUUUUUUUAUCUGAUCGGAAGAAGAAAAAGCUUUUGGAUCAUUCAGAAAUGGUAGUGCUUUUAAUAACUCUCACAUACCAUAUAACUCUCACAUACCAUAUCAAUUUACUAUAUCCACCCAAAUCAUCUUUCAUUCAUGUUCUGAAAACCAUAUCUGUCAUACCAACCUUCACAAAAUUUGAAGACGAACUGCAGCAACCGAAAGAAAGCCACUUCCUAAGCAACAUUAGUUAUCUCAAAUCAUUGUAUGGUAAUCGGUUAGACCUUGGAAUAGAUUCUGAGACGAUGAUAUAGGGUCUUCCUUGCCUCAAGGGCAUGGAAUUAGGUAAGAGGUAGGGGCAGCAAGAACAUGUACCAUGUGAGAAGCUGAGAGCUGAUUUCUAGACUACUCAAGUAGACAACUGGUACUAGAGGACCCAUAUGAAAAACUCCAUGAAAGCCACUCUGAUAUGCAGCUGCUGUUUCGAUUGGUCCUCCUAGAGAUGAUCACUCCCAACUUUUAAUGUAAUGUACUAAUGUAGAAUAGGAAGAAGGGUAAGGAUUCAUCACCGCCUCAAGUUGAUGGACACAACAUAGAUGUGAGUCAAAACCAAACUCAGAGUGAACAGACAGUAGGCUUAUAUUCUUCACCUGGGUCUUAUUUCAGGUUCCUUUCAAAGUUUGUCAGUAUUAUUCACCUCUUGCUUACUUCCAUUUCAACGGACUAUCACAAAUAGUAACAGCCACAAUGACUAUUACCAUAUUUUCAUUACCUAUAACAAAUCAGUGAAACCACAAUGCAGUUAAAAAGGUACAGGUUGGGAAGAUCCAGGCACAGUUUGACCCCUAAAACAUUGGGCAGGUUGUAAACUAGCAAAAGGCAGCAGGGUUGGGCCUUUAGGUUAUUUUGGUGACAUGUUAGUUUCUCAACAAGAACCAUACUUGGAGAACUUUAGAAUCACUAACCUUGAAGAUAACAUUGGGCAGGUUGUAAACUAGCAGAAGGCCGCACGAUUGGGCCUUUAGGUUAUUUUGGUGACAUGUUAGUUUAUCAACAAAAUCCGUACUUGGAGAACUUUAGAAUCACUAACCUUGAAGAUAACAAGUGAUCCCAAAUGUUGAUAUCUCACUGGUCCCUACGAAUCAGGUAGCAGCCGCAGCAAUUGU